AGAGUUUGAUCAUGGCUCAGGACGAACGCUGGCGGCGUGCCUAAUACAUGCAAGUCGAGCGAAUGGAUGGGAGCUUGCUCCCUGACAUUAGCGGCGGACGGGUGAGUAACACGUGGGCAACCUGCCUAUAAGACUGGGAUAACUUCGGGAAACCGGAGCUAAUACCGGAUACGUUCUUUUCUCGCAUGAGGAGAGAUGGAAAGACGGUUUCGACUGUCACUUAUAGAUGGGCCCGCGGCGCAUUAGCUAGUUGGUGAGGUAACGGCCCACCAAGGCCACGAUGCGUAGCCGACCUGAGAGGGUGAUCGGCCACACUGGGACUGAGACACGGCCCAGACUCCUACGGGAGGCAGCAGUAGGGAAUCUUCCGCAAUGGACGAAAGUCUGACGGAGCAACGCCGCGUGAGCGAAGAAGGCCUUCGGGUCGUAAAGCUCUGUUGUUAGGGAAGAACAAGUACCAGAGUAACUGCUGGUACCUUGACGGUACCUAACCAGAAAGCCACGGCUAACUACGUGCCAGCAGCCGCGGUAAUACGUAGGUGGCAAGCGUUGUCCGGAAUUAUUGGGCGUAAAGCGCGCGCAGGUGGUUUCUUAAGUCUGAUGUGAAAGCCCACGGCUCAACCGUGGAGGGUCAUUGGAAACUGGGGAACUUGAGUGCAGAAGAGGAAAGUGGAAUUCCACGUGUAGCGGUGAAAUGCGUAGAGAUGUGGAGGAACACCAGUGGCGAAGGCGACUUUCUGGUCUGUAACUGACACUGAGGCGCGAAAGCGUGGGGAGCAAACAGGAUUAGAUACCCCCGUAGUCC
rnacentral:rRNA from 1 species